rnacentral:rRNA from 1 species
GAUGAACGCUGGCGGCGUGCCUAAUACAUGCAAGUCGAGCGAACGGACGAGAAGCUUGCUUCUCUGAUGUUAGCGGCGGACGGGUGAGUAACACGUGGAUAACCUACCUAUAAGACUGGGAUAACUUCGGGAAACCGGAGCUAAUACCGGAUAAUAUUUUGAACCGCAUGGUUCAAAAGUGAAAGACGGUCUUGCUGUCACUUAUAGAUGGAUCCGCGCUGCAUUAGCUAGUUGGUAAGGUAACGGCUUACCAAGGCAACGAUGCAUAGACGACCUGAGAGGGUGAUCGGCCACACUGGAACUGAGACACGGUCCAGACUCCUACGGGAGGCAGCAGUAGGGAAUCUUCCGCAAUGGGCGAAAGCCUGACGGAGCAACGCCGCGUGAGUGAUGAAGGUCUUCGGAUCGUAAAACUCUGUUAUUAGGGAAGAACAUAUGUGUAAGUAACUGUGCACAUCUUGACGGUACCUAAUCAAAAAGCCACGGCUAACUACGUG